AACGCACCUUGCGCCCCUUGGUAUUCCGAGGGGCAUGCCUGUUUGAGUGUCAUGUCAUUCUCAAUCCUCUUUUUCUUAAUUGAAGAAGAGGCUUGGACUUGGAGGGGUAUAUCCAUGCUGGUACUGUCUGUAUCGGCUCCUCUCAAAUGCAUUAGCUGGACUGUAGUUCGCAUUGUUUGGUGUAGUAAUAGUUUUCUAUCUAUAUUCACUACAGUGCUUGCUUAGACUGUCUGCUUCCAAUAGUCCACCUAUGUGUUGGACAGGUACUCUGUUACCUUGACCCAUUUUGACCUCAAAUCAGGUAGGACUACCCGCUGAACUUAA
rnacentral:misc_RNA from 1 species